rnacentral:rRNA from 1 species
GUCUAUGACCAUGCCAACCUGAAUGUGCCCCAUUUCAUUUAAUCUCAGAAGCUAAGCAUGGUCAAGCCUAGUUAGUACUUGGAUGGGAGACCAUCUAGGAAUACCAGGUGCUGUAGGUG